rnacentral:rRNA from 1 species
GAUGAACGCUAGCGGCAGGCCUAACACAUGCAAGUCGAGGGGCAGCACAGAAACAGCAAUGUUUUGGUGGCGACCGGCGGACGGGUGCGUAACGCGUAUGCAACCUACCUUUAACAGGGGGAUAACGGAGAGAAAUUUCCACUAAUACCCCAUAACAUCGAUCAAGGCAUCUUGAUUGGUUGAAAACUCCGGUGGUUAAAGAUGGGCAUGCGUUGUAUUAGGUAGUUGGUGAGGUAAUGGCUCACCAAGCCUACGAUACAUAGGGGGACUGAAAGGUUAGCCCCCCAAACUGGUACUGGGACACGGACCAGACUCCUACGGGAGGCAGCAGUGAGGAAUAUUGGUCAAUGGGGGCAACCCUGAACCAGCCAUGCCGCGUGCAGGAAGACGGCUCUAUGAGUUGUAAACUGCUUUUAAACAGGGAUAAAGCACAGUAUGUAUACUGUGUUGAAGGUACUGUAAGAAUAAGGAUCGGCUAACUCCGUGCCAGCCGCCGCCGUAA